rnacentral:rRNA from 1 species
GACGAACGCUGGCGGCGUGCCUAAUACAUGCAAGUAGAACGCUGAAGGAGGAGCUUGCUUCUCUGGAUGAGUUGCGAACGGGUGAGUAACGCGUAGGUAACCUGCCUGGUAGCGGGGGAUAACUAUUGGAAACGAUAGCUAAUACCGCAUAAUAGUAGAUGUUGCAUGACAUUUGCUUAAAAGGUGCAAUUGCAUCACUACCAGAUGGACCUGCGUUGUAUUAGCUAGUUGGUGGGGUAACGGCUCACCAAGGCGACGAUACAUAGCCGACCUGAGAGGGGGAUCGGCCACACUGGGACUGAGACACGGCCCAGACUCCUACGGGAGGCAGCAGUCGGGAAUCUUCGGCAAUGGACGGAAGUCUGACCGAGCAACGCCGCGUGAGUGAAGAAGGGUUUCGGAUCGUAAAGCUCUGUUGUAAGAGAAGAACGAGGGUGAGAGUGGAAAGUUCACAAUGUGACGGUAUCUUACCAGAAAGGGACGGCUAACUACGUG